rnacentral:rRNA from 1 species
UACGUAGGGUGCAAGCGUUGUCCGGAAUUAUUGGGCGUAAAGAGCUCGUAGGCGGUCUGUUGCGUCGGCUGUGAAAACCCGAGGCUCAACCUCGGGCCUGCAGUCGAUACGGGCAAACUAGAGUACUGCAGGGAGACUGGAAUUCCUGGUGUAGCGGUGAAAUGCGCAGAUAUCAGGAGGAACACCGGUGGCGAAGGCGGGUCUCUGGGCAGUAACUGACGCUGGAGGAAGCGAAAGCGUGGGGAGCGAACAGG